GCAUAACGCGAAGAACCUUACCUAGGCUUGACAUGCAUCUCUAAGCACGUGAAAGCGUGUGACCCUUCGGGGAAUUUGCACAGGUGCUGCAUGGCCGUCGUCAGCUCGUGUCGUGAGAUGUUGGGUUAAGUCCCGCAACGAGCGCAACCCUUGUGACUAGUUGCCAGCACGUUAUGGUGGGAACUCUAGUCAGACUGCCCAGAUCAACUGGGAGGAAGGUGGGGACGACGUCAGGUCAGUAUGGCCCUUACGCCUAGGGCUGCACACGUACUACAAUGCCCAGCACAAUGAGAACCGAGACCGCGAGGUGGAGGAAAUCUAAAAAACUGGGCCCAGUUCGGAUUGGAGGCUGCAACUCGCCUCCAUGAAGUUGGAAUCGCUAGUAAUGGCGCAUCAUCUACGGCGCCGUGAAUACGUUCCCGGGUCUUGUACACACCG
rnacentral:rRNA from 1 species